GAUGAACGCUGGCGGCGUGCCUAAUACAUGCAAGUCGAGCGAACAGACGAGGAGCUUGCUCCUCUGACGUUAGCGGCGGACGGGUGAGUAACACGUGGAUAACCUACCUAUAAGACUGGGAUAACUUCGGGAAACCGGAGCUAAUACCGGAUAAUAUAUUGAACCGCAUGGUUCAAUAGUGAAAGACGGUUUUGCUGUCACUUAUAGAUGGAUCCGCGCCGCAUUAGCUAGUUGGUAAGGUAACGGCUUACCAAGGCGACGAUGCGUAGCCGACCUGAGAGGGUGAUAGGCCACACUGGAACUGAGACACGGUCCAGACUCCUAAGGGAGGCAGCAGUAGGGAAUCUUCCGCAAUGGGCGAAAGCCUGACGGAGCAACGCCGCGUGAGUGAUGAAGGUCUUCGGAUCGUAAAACUCUGUUAUUAGGGAAGAACAAAUGUGUAAGUAACUAUGCACGUCUUGACGGUACCUAAUCAGAAAGCCACGGCUAACUACGUG
rnacentral:rRNA from 1 species